AAGUGGGUCCCCAAACCUACAGUCGAGUGGUGGGACAGUAACAAUCAAACCAUUCCUUCAGAGGAGCCGCAGGUCUCUAAAAAAGGAGAGCGCUUCUUCAUCACUGUCAGCACUACUGUGAAAAAGGAUGACAACUAUUGCUGCGUUGCCACACAAGAGGACAUCUGGCAUCAGUCACAGAAGAAAAUCUAUAUACAUUUGAAUAAGAAGAGGGACUUGGCACCCCAAGGGCUUCCUGUAUGGGCUGCCAUACUCAUCGGUGUUCUUGGUUUUAUUGUUGGUGUUGCGGUUGGUGUUGCUGUUGUGCUUAAGGUUAAAGGAUACUGUUUGAAGAAAGGUUCACGAAGAAAAGAAAAUGGCUGCUCCACAUCGCUGCAGUUAAAUCUCAACUCCGAAUGAUCUUAAAAAGCCUGGAAUUGGACACCAGUGUAAUUAAUGAAAGCACUAAAAGAGAACAUGAAAGGCAACCUAAGAAUCCACAGUAGUCAAAACAUCAGAUCCACGACAGGUUAGGAACCACUGACCUACAACACUCCAUGUUCACAUCGUUAUUAACAUUACACAUAGUAAUUGUUUAUCACAGAUAGAAUGGGUUUUUUUUUUUCACUUUUGAUAGAAUUUGUGUUAUCAACAAAAUUGUAAAUACAGUAAAUGAGUGAAAUAUAAAAACAACAGAAUCUUACAGAAGUUUGCGUUGUUCAUCUUACAGAACCUUUUAGUGUGACAUUAGAGAUGGGCAGAUGAAGCCUUAAGAUGUUUUUUUGAGGCUUCUUGCUGAAAGAUAAAAAUCUUCCAGAGUCUUCCGAGUCUCUGUGGGUGAACAUCUCAGUAAUGUCUUCAUGUGUUGGCGUGUACCCUGCCUCUCACCCUGUGACAGCUCCACAGGUCACACAGCUGGAUCCUCUCCUCUCCUGUGGAAACCAGAACUCACCUGAAACAAUCCUGCCCUCUUCAGCAUAUCUUAAGCACUUUUAAUGAUAUUUGUUGUCGCUGCUAUCCAGAUGAAACUGUAUAUGUUUUUAUUAUGUCUCAUGUCUCCAACAUGUUUCUAAUUUACAUAAGUCCCUGUUUGUGCCCCUGACAAAUUUAUGUCUAAAGUAAUGGAAACUCUUGGUCCUAUUGCUGCAUUUGCUAAAUAUGCUACAGUUGCUUAAUCAGGACUCUCAAAGUAACCUUUUACAUUUCAAAGUUUAUUUCAAAUACAAUAAUUCAAAGACAAACUGGUUCACUCUUGUGUUUAUUAUUUAUGUCUGGAUUGCCAUAAUUCUUUUUUUACUUCUCUAAACUAAUAAUGCUUCUGCGAGGCUUCUGACUAACUACACUCACGUUGCAGAGUUGCUGACUCAGCUGCACUAGCUUCCCAUUAAAUUCAGAGUCAAAUUGAAAAUUCUGAUU